AUACGUAGGGGGCGAGCGUUGUCCGGAAUGAUUGGGCGUAAAGGGCGCGUAGGCGGCCCGGUAUGUCUGGAGUGAAAGUCCUGUUUUUAAGAUGGGAAUUGCUUUGGAUACUGUCGGGCUUGAGUGCAGGAGAGGUAAGUGGAAUUCCCAGUGUAGCGGUGAAAUGCGUAGAGAUUGGGAGGAACACCAGUGGCGAAGGCGACUUACUGGACUGUAACUGACGCUGAGGCGCGAAAGUGUGGGGAGCAAACAGGAUUAGAUACCCUGGUAGUCCACACUGUAAACGAUGAAUGCUAGGUGUAGGGGGUAUCGACCCCUUCUGUGCCGCAGUCAACACAUUAAGCAUUCCACCUGGGGAGUACGGCCGCAAGGUUGAAACUCAAAGGAAUUGACGGGG
rnacentral:rRNA from 1 species